GGGCGGGGGAGGGGGAGGCGAGGAGGCGGCGCCUGUGUCGGCGCUGGAGGUUGUGUCCUUCCUGGGCAAGCUGCUGUGCGCAGUCGCGGCGCUGAAGGCGGCCCUCUACCUGCUCCGCAGGGUGUGCCUCGCCAUGGCCUGGAAGUCGGGCGGCGCCAGCCACGCCGAGCUCAUCCACAACCUCCGCAAAAAUGGAAUAAUUAAAUCAGACAAGGUAUUUGAAGUAAUGCUGGCUACAGACCGUUGCCAUUAUGCAAAAUACAACCCGUAUAUGGAUUCUCCUCAGUCUAUAGGUUUCCAAGCAACAAUCAGUGCUCCACAUAUGCAUGCAUAUGCUCUUGAACUUCUGUCUGAUCAGUUACAUGAAGGAGCCAAAGCACUUGAUGUAGGUUCUGGAAGUGGAAUCCUUACAGCAUGCUUUUCACGAAUGGUUGGUCCCAAAGGACAAGUUGUAGGAAUUGAUCAUAUCAAAGAACUAGUAGAUGACUCAAUAAAUAAUGUCAAAAAAGAUGAUCCCACAUUGCUGUCUUCAGGAAGAGUGAAACUGAUUGUGGGAGAUGGAAGAAUGGGAUAUGCAGAAGAAGCUCCCUAUGAUGCGAUUCAUGUAGGAGCUGCAGCACCAGUUGUGCCCCAAGCACUUAUAGAUCAGUUAAACCUGGCGGAAGAUUGAUAUUACCGGUUGGUCCUGCAGGGGGAAACCAGAUGCUUGAACAGUAUGACAAACUAGAAGAUGGCAGUGUCAAAAUGAAGCCUCUGAUGGGAGUGAUAUAUGUGCCUUUAACAGAUAAAGAGAAGCAGUGGUCCAGGUGGAAGUGAUUUUCUGUUCCACUUACUUCUUCCACACACACGCAAGGGAUGAAUUGUAAAAGCUACAUCAUCUUGACCCAAACAUAGUGUUACAGUGGACUGCUCAUCUCCAGUUCUAAAAGCUUUUUGAAAACCAACAGCAUUGCAGCUUGUUUUGGACUUCGUUAUACUGUUGUUAUCAGCAUGGAAAAGCGUGGUGUUUGUUUUAUUUUCUUAGAUGCUCAAGGCAAAUCUGAUAAAGACAUGGUGGAAAGUU